GGCUAUGUAGCUCAGUUGGUUAGAGCACAACACUCAUAAUGUUGGGGUCACAGGUUCGAAUCC
rnacentral:tRNA from 1 species